GUGGCAGCCGCCGCGGUAACACCGGCAGCCCAAGUGGUGGCCGCUUUUAUUGGGCCUAAAGCGUCCGUAGCCGGCCAGGUAAGUCCCUGUGUAAAUCUUCAGGCUUAACUUGAAGAAUUGCGGGGAUACUGCUUGGCUUGGGGCCGGAAGACGUGGAGGGUACUCCGGGGGUAGCGGUGAAAUGCUGUAAUCCUCGGGGGACCACCAGUGGCGAAGGCUCUCCACGAGGACGGGCCCGACGGCGAGGGACGAAAGCCAGGGGCGCGAACGGGAUUAGAUACCCCGGUAGUCCUGGCCGUAAACGCUGCAGGCUUGGUGUUGCACGCUCUACGGGGGCGUGCAGUGCCGAAGCGAAGGCGAUAAGCCUGCCGCCUGGGAAGUACGCUCGCAAGAGUGAAACUCAAAUGAAUUGGCGG
rnacentral:rRNA from 1 species